GAUGAACGCUGGCGGCGUGCCUAAUACAUGCAAGUCGUGCGAACGGACGAGAAGCUUGCUUCUCUGAUGUUAGCGGCGGACGGGUGAGUAACACGUGGAUAACCUACCUAUAAGACUGGGAUAACUUCGGGAAACCGGAGCUAAUACCGGAUAAUAUUUUGAACCGCAUGGUUCAAAAGUGAAAGACGGUCUUGCUGUCACUUAUAGAUGGAUCCGCGCUGCAUUAGCUAGUUGGUAAGGUAACGGCUUACCAAGGCAACGAUGCAUAGCCGACCUGAGAGGGUGAUCGGCCACACUGGAACUGAGACACGGUCCAGACUCCUACGGGAGGCAGCAGUAGGGAAUCUUCCGCAAUGGGCGAAAGCCUGACGGAGCAACGCCGCGUGAGUGAUGAAGGUCUUCGGAUCGUAAAACUCUGUUAUUAGGGAAGAACAUAUGUGUAAGUAACUGUGCACAUCUUGACGGUACCUAAUCAGAAAGCCACGGCUAACUACGUG
rnacentral:rRNA from 1 species